rnacentral:misc_RNA from 1 species
CGCACCUUGCGCCCCUUGGUAUUCCGAGGGGCAUGCCUGUUUGAGUGUCUUGAAAUCAUCAAACCGAACCGGUCUUUGUUGCCGGUGCGGUUUGGACUUGGGGGUUUCAUUGCUGGCCGCUCGCGGUUGGCUCCCCUUAAAUGCAUCGGUGGGGCCUACUGGGGCUCCGUCACCUGGGCGUUGUAUUACCCUCGUCUUGGACGGCUCGCGAUUCAAUGGCCCUUCUUCGACCUGCCUCUGGAGUGGCGGUCUUCAACUUUUGUGAUCUGACCUCAAAUCAGGUAGGACUACCCGCUGAACUUAA